rnacentral:rRNA from 1 species
GGAAUCCAGCCAUGCCGCGUCCAGGAUGAAGGCCUUCGGGUAGUAAACUGUUUUUGUACGGAACGAAACGGCCUUUUCUAAUAAAGAGGGCUAUUGACGGUACCGUAAGAAUAAGCACCGGCUAACUACGUGCCAGCAGCCGCGGUAAUACGUAGGGUGCAAGCGUUAAUCGGAAUUACUGGGCGUAAAGCGUGCGCAGGCGGUUAUGUAAGACAGUUGUGAAAUCCCCGGGCUCAACCUGGGAACUGCAUCUGUGACUGCAUAGCUAGAGUACGGUAGAGGGGGAUGGAAUUCCGCGUGUAGCAGUGAAAUGCGUAGAUAUGCGGAGGAACACCGAUGGCGAAGGCAAUCCCCUGGACCUGUACUGACGCUCAUGCACGAAAGCGUGGGGAGCAAACAGG